rnacentral:rRNA from 1 species
UACGAAGGGGGCUAGCGUUGCUCGGAAUCACUGGGCGUAAAGCGCACGUAGGCGGAUUGCUAAGUCAGGGGUGAAAUCCUGGAGCUCAACUCCAGAACUGCCUUUGAUACUGGCGACCUUGAGUCCGGGAGAGGUGAGUGGAACUGCGAGUGUAGGGGUGAAAUUCGUAGAUAUUCGCAAGAACACCAGUGGCGAAGGCGGCUCACUGGCCCGGUACUGACGCUGAGGUGCGAAAGCGUGGGGAGCAAACAGG